rnacentral:lncRNA from 1 species
CUACUAAUUUAAGAACCAGGUAAAAUCGACAUACAGCAAAGAAAGCAUUUGUUCAACCUCACACGUUGAGUAGGUGUACGUAAAUAAAGAUGUUCAAGUGGCUUGCCUGUUUGUUUCAUCGCUUUCGCGGUUGCAAAAUGGAACCAGAAUGUACAAGCGACGGAUGAGUUGAAUGAAAAAGAGAGAAGGCUGCUGGAAGCUCUUGAGGAGAAAUUAGAUCGGGAAUCGCAGGAGAUUGAUGUGUGUGAAACAGAAGAAUGUUUCAUGGAUUACGCAUGUGCGUCACAAUGUUGUUCAGAUGACUUGCCGCAGUGGACGACUUACGAAGGUUGCAUGGAUGACUGCAUGAAGGACGUACCAGACACGGUUACGGCUGCCCCGAACCAAGAGAGUCCAAGCGGAGAAGUUAACGGUCAGCAAAAGAAAGCAUGGGGAUUUCGAGUGAGAAGAGCCUGGAGAAGAGCAGUCAGAACAGCGAGAAGAGUCAGAGUCUGGAGAAGAUGGAGAAGAUCAUAAAAAUGUCUACAAAUUCGACAAAAUGUGUAGUUUUAUAAAUGAAAGGACCUUUUGAAAGCCUUAAAGUUUGUAGAAACUUCAAUCAGACAAUGCGUUUCAAAAGAUAGCAUAACAGAGAAACUAAACCGACUAAUAUUGUAUUACUGAUGUAGGCAAAUAAAUAACACCGUUUCAUGGUAACUUUUUUCAACAUUUCUAUACUGAAUAUUUGAAAAGUUUAGUUAUAAAAGUAAAUACUAUUAAUAACUUAAUUUAACGUUAUGAUUUUGUUUUAUUAAUUGUAGACUAUAAGCUCAACUAAGUGUAUUAAAAUAUGUAUGAAAUAAUUUCAAAUGUCAGUUAUCAGCCAGAAAGUUCAUUUUGCGUUAAAACUCAUACUAAGACAUUGGAACGUUUUUUUCUUCUUCGUAACGUUACCUCUCAUAAUGAUUGAUUAUCAUAUAUUACAUAAUAUAUCUAAACGUUAGAACAAAAUACAUUGUCUGCUAUACUAAUAGUGUAACACAUAGUUAUCGGUUAAUAAAUUGAUGUGAGAUUGAUACCUAUCAUAGACUGAUUGAGUAGCGUGCAUGAUGUUUUCAGAUGCUCUUUACUUCUUAUUUAGAAUCAUAUUAAUCGGGAAAACGUGUUACAGAACUGAACAGUACAUAAACAGACAUCUGGUAUUAUAAUAAUGAUAAUAAUAGCAAUAAUAAUAAUAAUAAUAAUAAUAACGGAAGAGAUGCUUUAUUACCGUAUAAAAUACAUGUUUCUCCUUUAUACAGAAUAGAAUUACAUUCUCGCUAUUCAUUUUCCAAACACGGAAAAUAAUACUGCAGUUGUUACGAGCCAGACUUAACUAGAAAAAUACCACGAAUAAAAUCGAGACAAUACUAGAGUUUCAAAAUGCAAUAUUUAUGUAGAAUAUUCGACACAAAGGCAACAGCUCAUGAUCUGUAGACUUUGCAACAUUUACUAAUCCUGAUUUUUAUUAGCUUUGAUAAAAUUCCAUGAAGUUCAUUCACACAAAAUAUUUUGUAUGAUUGUUGAUUGUAUUGAAACUUGAAAAAUAAAUUUUUCUUAAGUCGCA